GGCGGGGUAGCUCAGUUGGUUAGAGCGUCGGAUUCAUAAUCCGGAGGUCUUGGGUUCAAUCCCCAAUCCCGCUA
rnacentral:tRNA from 1 species